rnacentral:rRNA from 1 species
UACGGAAGGCAGCAGUGGGGAAUAUUGCACAAUGGGCGCAAGCCUGAUGCAGCCAUGCCGCGUGUAUGAAGAAGGCCUUCGGGUUGUAAAGUACUUUCAGCGGGGAGGAAGGCGAUGCGGUUAAUAACCGCGUCGAUUGACGUUACCCGCAGAAGAAGCACCGGCUAACUCCGUGCCAGCAGCCGCGGUAAUACGGAGGGUGCAAGCGUUAAUCGGAAUUACUGGGCGUAAAGCGCACGCAGGCGGUCUGUUAAGUCAGAUGUGAAAUCCCCGGGCUUAACCUGGGAACUGCAUUUUGAAACUGGCAGGCUUGAGUCUUGUAGAGGGGGUAGAAUUCCAGGUGUAGCGGUGAAAUGCGUAGAGAUCUGGAGGAAUACCGGUGGCGAAGGCGGGCCUCCUAAACGGAUACUGACACGUGAGGUGCGAAAGCGUGGGGAGCAAACAGGGAUUAGAUACC